rnacentral:rRNA from 1 species
UACGGGGGGUGCGAGCGUUGUCCGGAAUCACUGGGCGUAAAGGGCGCGUAGGUGGUUUGAUAAGGGUGUGGUGAAAGCCCGGGGCUCAACCCCGGGUCUGCCGUGCCGACUGUCAAACUCGAGGGCCGUAGAGGCAGACGGAAUUCCGGGUGUAGCGGUGGAAUGCGUAGAGAUCCGGAGGAAGACCGGUGGCGAAGGCGGUCUGCUGGGCAGUUUCUGACACUGAGGCGCGACAGCGUGGGGAGCAAACAGG